rnacentral:rRNA from 1 species
AGUGAACGCUGGCGGUGGGCCUAACACAUGCAAGUCGAACGGCAGCACAGUAAGAGCUUGCUCUUACGGGUGGCGAGUGGCGGACGGGUGAGGAAUACAUCGGAAUCUACUUUUUCGUGGGGGAUAACGUAGGGAAACUUACGCUAAUACCGCAUACGACCUACGGGUGAAAGCAGGGGAUCUUCGGACCUUGCGCGAUUGAAUGAGCCGAUGUCGGAUUAGCUAGUUGGCGGGGUAAAGGCCCACCAAGGCGACGAUCCGUAGCUGGUCUGAGAGGAUGAUCAGCCACACUGGAACUGAGACACGGUCCAGACUCCUACGGGAGGCAGCAGUGGGGAAUAUUGGACAAUGGGCGCAAGCCUGAUCCAGCCAUACCGCGUGGGUGAAGAAGGCCUUCGGGUUGUAAAGCCCUUUUGUUGGGAAAGAAAAGCAGUAGGUUAAUACCCCGCUGUUCUGACGGUACCCAAAGAAUAAGCACCGGCUAACUUCGUG